AUAGUGCCAGGGAAACUUGGAUUAACAGCGCAUAGUAAUGUGUUUUGGGAUCAUUACAUAGUUAAANCUAGGGUGGUAUANGAUGGGGAUGCGGUCCCGUUAGCUGGUGGGUGUGGUAACGGCACGCCAAGGCAACGGUGGGUAGGGGCCCUGAGAGGGGGAUCCCCCACGCUGGUACUGAGACACGGACCAGACUCCUACGGGAGGCAGCAGUGAGGAAUAUUGGACAAUGGGCGGGAGCCUGAUCCAGCCAUGCCGCGUGCAGGAAGACUGCCCUAUGGGUUGUAAACUGCUUUUAUACGGGAAGAAACCCACCUACGUGUAGGUGGCUGACGGUACCGUAAGAAUAAGGACCGGCUAACUCCGUGCCAGCAGCCGCGGUAAUACGGAGGGUCCGAGCGUUAUCCGGAAUCAUUGGGUUUAAAGGGUCCGCAGGCGGCCAGAUAAGUCAGUGGUGAAAUUCCGUGGCUCAACCACGGAACUGCCAUUGAUACUGUUUGGUUUGAAUCAG
rnacentral:rRNA from 1 species